rnacentral:rRNA from 1 species
GGUUUUUAAUUUAUAAUAUAAAAAAUUAAAAAUAAAACUAAAAGGACGCGGUAACCUUGACCGUGAUAAUGUAGCAUAAUCACUCGCCAUUUAAUUGAUGGAUAGUAUGAAUGGUUGAACGAAUAUUCCACUGUCUUAAAGAGAAUUACAAGAAAUUGAAAUAAUAGUUAAGAUGCUAUUUAAAACUGUAAGACGAAAAGACCCUAUAGAGCUUAACUAUAGUCUCUUUACCAAAAAAGAAAAAUAACUUUCUUAUAUAAAGAGAUUGGUAGUUUAGUUGGGGCGACUGUCUUCUAAAAUAAACGAAGACAAGCAAUGUUAAUAAAAAACUUAUUGUAUAAUAAAUCUAUUUAACAAUUAUAAAAGUAGGCUAUAUUGACCCGUUUUUACUAAAAAACAGAGAAAAACGAUCAAUUGAUAAAAGCUACCUUAGGGAUAACAGGAUAAUUUCAUUCUAGAGCUCAUAUCGAAAAUGAAGUUUGUCACCUCUAUGUUGAAUUAA